rnacentral:lncRNA from 1 species
AUGAGGGCCUGGGUUGCGGGAACGUUGCAGAAGCACAUUGACAAGGAGCAAUGGAAGAGGAUCGGAGGAUUCACCAACAGCUUGUUGCCGAUGCACGAUCCUGGAGUUGGCUUCGGGCAGGGGAACGGUGGAAGAUUCCGGCCGCUGUUCGGCCACAAGCCGCCAUUCGGCCACAAGCUGAGAGAGGCUGGCGGCAGAGCAAGGAGAGAUGGCCUCGCCAGUAGAACUGGGCGCUACUUCGGCGCUCCUGUUCCCCGCGGCAGCAACCGGCAAGUGGGUGAGAACAUGUUCAAGCGUCGCUGGGAUGAGCCGGCACUGAUGAAGGAGGGCGGCAGCAGCAGGGGGAUCGGUGAGAUGACACAGACGAAGGAGGAGGCAAAAGGUGGAGGAGAAAGCAAGAAACCGGGUCAGAUCAAGGUAGGAGAUGUGGUUGUCCCGAUAAAUUCAGAAGUGAAGAAAGGAAAGAAUUGUGUCUGUGAGUUUGAUGAUGAUGACGAUGAUUUGUUGGAGUUUGAUGAGGAGCCGCGGGUGAUUAGGGACAAGAAAGGGGAUGAUCAAAAGGGUGGUGCACGGGUGAAAGUUUGCUCUAGGUGCACUCAAAAGGGACAUGGUGUUGCUGAUUGUAAGGUGGAUGUAUAUUGUGAUAUCUGCGACUGUAGCGUGCAUGUCUACCACAAAUGUCCAGUCCUAAAGCUUCCAAAGCCGGUGGUGCAGGGCGGCCUAGGUUUUCAGCACAUCCCACAUCAACCGCUUCAAAGGAACAAGAAGACUACGAAGAAGGCUCUUGUGCAUGUGGUUGGUGGUGCUCUUUCGGUGGAAAGGUUGGUCACUCUUCUCCACAAGUUGUGUCCAACUAAAUGGAAGUGGGAGCCAGUGCCACACGGGAAGGACGCUUGUGUUGUUCUUUUCCCUUCAAAGGGCGAAUUGCAAUGGGCCAUCAACUUUGGGGGUGCAGAUGUGAAGGAAGGAGGGAAAAGUGGAGAAGACAAUGAGGGAAGGGAGAAGGGACCAAAAAUGUCAAAGGUUGAUGAUAUGGUAAUUGAUGACAAUCAUGAUAGGAGUGAAGGGAGUAAAGAGGCACAGGAAGGUUCUGAUUUAGAGAAAGAAAUGGAUUUUUCUAUGAUGGCUGAAAAUAUCUUGGAUGUGGCUGUCCAAGAUGUGUUGGAGGAGGUGUAUGAGAGGGUAGAGAGGGAGGAAAUGGAGGAAAAUGAGGCGGGGGUGCAGCAGGAAAAGAUUGUUCAGCUGGCUAAUGUUGGGGAGGUGUUGGUGACACCAAAAAGGGCUAGCGAGAGGUUGAUGGGCAGCAGCGGGAGACAUUCACUUGAAAAGGCUAAGUCCAAAAAGGCAUGGAUGAAUCUCGACCCUCUCUCA